rnacentral:rRNA from 1 species
UACAGAGGGCUCAAGCGUUGUUCGGAUUUAUUGGGCGUAAAGGGUGCGUAGGCGGCUUGGUAAGUCGGAUGUGAAAUCUCGGAGCUUAACUCCGAAACUGCAUUCGAUACUGCCGUGCUUGAGGACUGGAGAGGAGACUGGAAUUUACGGUGUAGCGGUGAAAUGCGUAGAUAUCGUAAGGAAGACCAGUGGCGAAGGCGGGUCUCUGGACAGUUCCUGACGCUGAGGCGCGAAGGUCAGGGGAGCAAACAGG